rnacentral:lncRNA from 1 species
CUCCCAGCCUAUGGCACUCUACAUGUAGGGAGACACCCACUAGGGUGAGGCUCCAUUAUCCAGCAAUGUCCCCUAGGGACCGGCAAAGGGCUACCUGCAGUUGGCUCAGGGUGGCAUUGGAGGCCUCCCCUCCUGUGUCUCCUGCUGUGCCCAGGCCCCACCAGGCCUAACCCUGGCCCUGUUCUCUCCAACACCCACAUGCAUGUAGAGGGGGGCACCAGCAGGAUUUCAUAAGGGUGUCACCCAAGUUAGCAGAUCUGAGGAGCAAAGUCCAUUGCAGGACAUUGGGCUGUUUGCAGCUGGCUGGGAGUUUCCUUCAGACGAGAGUAGCCAAGACAGAAGAGUGGGACAGAAAGAAUGGGCAGAGCUAUGACCUCAGCCUUCCUUGCAAGCCUCUGCUGUAAACCCCAGCCGCUCAUACAAAUCUCCAGCCAUCCUCGACUGCGUUCCUCCCGAGUGGAGCCCACACUGAGCUGUGACUUCCCAGGAGUCAUCUGAGGUGACCCAGCUCUGAGCCAAUGGAAGCCUUUGAGGGGGAAGGCCAGCCCAGCCAGCAUGGUGGUGAGUGUGGUGGGGGUGGGAUGUCAGGGUGGGCAUGAGGCCCAGCCCUACCCACCCCAC